GACUGUAGGGGAGCUGCCCUCAAGCUAGCCCUCACCCUGUCCUACCUGUGGACCAGUUAGGUUGGGCUUAUACAAAUGGAGUAGACUUAUGGGAAUGUCUGAUAUUGGUUGAGAUGGCUUUCUCUGUGGCCCUUUUACAGCUCUCCCCCUAAGGAGACCUCUGUUAUUUCCUCCAAACUUUCAGCCUGGGCCACAGUGGGCAUAGACACCUCCCCCUGAUGAACUCUUGGCAUAUUUGCGAGCCCAGGCUGAUGAAAAGACUCCAUGGCUACUCUACUACGUUGAUCUUCCUGUCCCCAUACCUCUCUAAUGUCAUAGAAUGGAAGGAGUGGUUAGAGGCAGACUCCCUGUCUAAGCAGCUACAUCAAGGCCUGGACCUUAAGGAGAGCCUGGCUGCACGGGUGAGGGAGGCCAUCCAGCGCCUAGAGACCCUGGAGUAGGCCAAGAGAGCCGCCCAGGGCUGGCACUGUCACCACCCACUGUCGCUGUGGCUCCUCCACCUGUCACCCUGAAGAUGUCCAGCAGCCUGUGUCCAGCAGGCUAUCAGCCGGAGCCCUAGCAGACAAAUUAAAUAUGAGAGGAAAGUUGGACCAUGUUUUGCGUUGACCAUUUAGGCAGACCUAGUUUAUUUUUGUUGAAGUAAAUUGACUCUUGUUAUACUUCGGAA